rnacentral:rRNA from 1 species
CAUCCUCCAAGGCUAAAUACUCCUGACUGACCGAUAGUGAACCAGUACCGUGAGGGAAAGGCGAAAAGAACCCCGGCGAGGGGAGUGAAAAAGAACCUGAAACCGUGUACGUACAAGCAGUGGGAGCACAGGUUUACCUGUGUGACUGCGUACCUUUUGUAUAAUGGGUCAGCGACUUAUAUUCUGUAGCAAGGUUAACCGUAUAGGGGAGCCGCAGGGAAACCGAGUCUUAACUGGGCGUUAAGUUGCAGGGUAUAGACCCGAAACCCGGUGAUCUAGCCAUGGGCAGGUUGAAGGUUGGGUAACACUAACUGGAGGACCGAACCGACUAAUGUUGAAAAAUUAGCGGAUGACCUGUGGCUGGGGGUGAAAGGCCAAUCAAACCGGGAGAUAGCUGGUUCUCCCCGAAAGCUAUUUAGGUAGCGCCUCGUGAAUUCAUCUCCGGGGGUAGAGCACUGUUUCGGCUAGGGGGCCAUCCCGGCUUACCAACCCGAUGCAAACUGCGAAUACCGGAGAAUGUUAUCACGGGAGACACACGGCGGGUGCUAACGUCCGUCGUGAAGAGGGAAACAACCCAGACCGCCAGCUAAGGUCCCAAAGUCAUGGUUAAGUGGGAAACGAUGUGGGAAGGCCCAGACAGCCAGGAUGUUGGCUUAGAAGCAGCCAUCAUUUAAAGAAAGCGUAAUAGCUCACUGGUCGAGUCGGCCUGCGCGGAAGAUGUAACGGGGCUAAACCAUGCACCGAAGCUGCGGCAGCGA